rnacentral:rRNA from 1 species
UACGUAGGGGGCAAGCGUUGUCCGGAAUCAUUGGGCGUAAAGAGCGCGUAGGCGGCCCUGUAAGUCCGCUGUGAAAGUCAAGGGCUCAACCCUUGGAUGCCGGUGGAUACUGGUUGGCUUGAAUCCGGGAGAGGGAUGUGGAAUUCCAGGUGUAGCGGUGAAAUGCGUAGAUAUCUGGAGGAACACCGGUGGCGAAGGCGGCAUCCUGGACCGGUAUUGACGCUGAGGAGCGAAAGCCAGGGGAGCAAACGGG